rnacentral:tRNA from 1 species
UCGUGGUUGAGUGGUAAGGACUCUUGUCUCUCACUCUGGAGUCCCGGGCUCGAUCCCCGGUUGAGGAG